UCCCGAAACUGCGCUGAGAUGGCCUACUUUUCUGUAGAUCACGUAACCCCCCAUCAUACAUCAUAUCGGUCUUUCUGUCGCAGGGACAAUUUCACUGUUUAUUUUCUGUUAAAACAACAGCGUUUCCAUUGGACAGCUUGUAUCACAGUCUACAAAUGUAACGUCGUAUGGCAUUCGAUCCACACACAAACCAUACAGAAACUCCGCCAGAUGUGCUUUGGAAGAGGGUGGUCGGGCUAAAGCGGGGUCUUGACCCGACCCGGUCGCUGGGAAUACUGUUGUUGCUGUUGAGCGCACCCAGGGGUUGAACGGGAGUCGCCUUGGACAGCUGGGAAAUCGACUUGAUUUUGGAUGCCGAGGUCCUUGUCCUCUGCUGGCGAAGAAAUCCCCAUCUUCAUUAAUUAAAACACAUUCCGCAACCUGCUAUCUACUGACUCAUACGAAUCACUGCUAAUGUAGUUGCAACUGUUUUCUCUGAAUUGCGAUGGAAAGUAAACAGCAGCCAAAUAAAAAAGGACUCGAGUCCCAUCA